CUGCCGCACCGGCCCGUGGGCCGCAGCAUGCACGCGUCCGCUCCUCCACCGACAGCGGGGCCCACAUGCCGCUACCGUCUGUUACAUCCUUCGGCCCUUCCUUUUCUUCCCCACGCCCGGCAGCCGGUCGACAAAAUGUCCACAUGCCGCUUUGCUGCCGUGCUUGACCGCAACACCUCCACUGCACAGUCUGCACCGGCACCUCCCGACACCACGCCGCCACUCGCAGCCCCUCUGCCACCCCUGGAAUAGCGCUUUCACACGCCGAGCCACGAGUUCGCGACGUCCAUCUUGCUGGUCUCCGCCGCCGUGCGCGUACACAGGUCCGCCCCUGCGCCAGCACCGCUCGCUGCUGCGCCGCUGUCGGCCGACACGCGCUCUGCCCUGUCCCAUCGUGCCGCUCCGUUUCGUCUCCGCACUCGGCACCGGCGAAAAAUAACUCCCCGAGCCACCGCCCGUCCUCUAGCGCUACCCAUCACCUACCGCGCCUCACUCUACCACUCUAGCGCCUGCUCGGGCUCGACCUUCGCGAGCGACACUCACCGUCGCCGCACUCGCUCUCCGCUUCACGCCGCCAAGCCACCACCAACACCUUCCAUUCUCCACCAUGCCGCCGCCAUCAAGUUCCCCUAAACCCAGUGACCCCAAUUAGGCCCUCGCCGGAGCCCGAUCGCAAUCAGAGCAAAUAUACCCAAAUCGGGGUCACCAUCGCCGCCGCCAUCGCAGGUCGAUCCUCGUCGCCGGCCAAGGACUGAAGCAAGGACAGACGGUGGCCACAGGUGUAAAUGAGUGAGGGAGUGCGCAGCGUGCCAGACAAAGGCAUUGUGACGUUGCGCUGCCAUGCUAGCCUAGAGCCCAGUGUGCAGCAUCGUUUCACCCACGGCAAGGCCCACCCUCUCCGCCCCAAACGCCAAAGCAUGCGUUGCCACCAUCCGACCAACACUCCCGCCGGCACGCAUGCCCUUUCAGAACGAAGAUUCGCCAUGCUGUUUCCUUCUUCCUCCGGACAGAUCCUGACGAACCCGUUGUGCGACGAGGAAAGAAUCAGGAAAGGGAUCGUUACCGCCACUACGCCUACCUGCACUCAAACGAUAGAUGCAUCACCACACUGUCAGUCACAUGGUGCUAGGAUAGGAGAUGAAGAAGAAACCGAAAUGGAAUUCGAGAUGAAAAUCAUCCCGGAAACAGAGUAAGGAUCGGUUGAAGUCCAAAUCGGCUACGACUAGGGUCGGCAGAGAUCGAGUCAGACAGGGUUAGCCGAUCGAGCCGAAUCUGACAAUGUGACACGACAUACAUUGUCGGGUUAGGUUGACGUGCUUCAAGAUGAUUGCCACACAUGGAUAGAGUCCUGAGAAGGCAAUUAUAUCUAUUAAUUAGGAUAUUUUAUGUAAUUUCCUUAGAGAUAUGUUUGGGCAAAAGUCUGCCACAAAGACUUAU